rnacentral:sRNA from 1 species
GUACUUGCUAUUAUGAUACCGAUUUUUGGUGUUGGUAAAACGCCUGCAAUUGUAGCGCUAUUUAUUUAUGUAUUAUUACCUAUUUUAAAUAACACGGUACUCGGUGUUCAAAAUAUUGAUAGCAACAUUAAAGAAGCUGGAAAAAGUAUGGGAAUGACACAAUUUCAAUUGAUGAAGGAUGUUGAAUUGCCGUUAGCAUUGCCGCUUAUCAUUGGUGGCAUUCGUUUGUCAUCUGUGUAUGUAAUUAGUUGGGCUACACUUGCAAGUUAUGUAGGUGCGGGUGGAUUAGGUGAUUUCAUUUUCAAUGGUUUAAAUUUAUAUGAUCCACUGAUGAUUGUAACUGCAACGGUACUCGUUACUGCACUAGCAUUAGGUGUUGAUGCCUUAUUAGCUUUAGUUGAAAAAUGGGUAGUUCCCAAAGGCUUAAAAGUAUCUGGAUAAUUAGGAGGCUAAGAUAAUGAAGAAAAUUAAAUAUAUACUUGUCGUGUUUGUCUUAUCGCUUACCGUAUUAUCUGGAUGUAGUUUGCCCGGACUAGGUAGUAAGAGCACGAAAAAUGAUGUCAAAAUUACAGCAUUAUCAACAAGCGAAUCGCAAAUUAUUUCACAUA